rnacentral:rRNA from 1 species
GCCUUUGCUGGUUGGUCCGCCUUUUGGUGUGUACUGAUCUAGCGAAGGCUUACCUCUUGGUGAACUGCGAUGCCCUUUAUUGGGUGUUGUAGGGAACCAAGACUUUUACUUUGAAAAAAUUAGAGUGUUUAAAGCAGGCUUACGCUUGAAUACAUUAGCAUGGAAUAAUAGAAUAGGACU